UACGAAGGGGGCUAGCGUUGUUCGGAAUUACUGGGCGUAAAGCGCACGUAGGCGGAUUUGUAAGUUGGGGGUGAAAUCCCCGGGCUCAACCCGGGAACUGCCUUCAAGACUGCAAGUCUGGAGAUCAGGAGAGGCGAGUGGAAUACCGAGUGUAGAGGUGAAAUUCGUAGAUAUUCGGUGGAACACCAGUGGCGAAGGCGACUCGCUGGACUGAUACUGACGCUGAGGUGCGAAAGCGUGGGGAGCAAACAGG
rnacentral:rRNA from 1 species